GAGGAAGGCAGUGACGGAAAACGCUUGGCCUAUCACAUGACUGAUCUCCGCUGUCAUGAGCCAUCGUUCUCUAACUGCAAGCUUUCAUUUUCAAAGUCCUGGCAUGAUUUCAGGAGCUGUAAACCUUCAUGUGAAUGAAACAGAAAUGGAACAUGGUGAUGGAAGCAAAAGAAAAAGCCCAGGUUGAAAGGCCUGGGCUUCUUCAGAGGUCCCUCCCUGGCCACGGUCUGGAGGCUUCUCAUGAGAGACUCCUACCUUGGGCAGCAUGUAGUCUCUAGGUCAUCUUUCCCAGGAGAAAAAGGUUCAUCAUAUCUGGAAUGAGAGGAAAGAAAAAGAAAAAUCACACCCUUGUUAAGUGAAAGAGACUGGGCAAGGUACUGUAGAAAACACAUUUUAGAAGGUUCACCCAGCCCAUAAGGCUCUCCUCAGCUCCACCGCCCACAGGCAGAGCCCCUUCAGCCCAGUUACAUUGUCUGAGCUCACAGCUCCCUCCCCCUGUACCCAGCCAACACCCACUCCUGCCACAGUGAACUUCUGCAGCAGCUAAGACAAUGGAUAGGGAGUAUGGGACUCUGUUCCCUCCUUAGAGGUCUUGGAAAGGGAAGACAUAAACCCAUGGGCAGUCACAUUCUGCCAGCUCUGUUGGCUUAGAAGAGAUAAAGCCAGUCCUCACAAAAAGAGGAAAAAAACAAUACAGACAUACAAAGCGAGGCUACAAUGGCUCCUGAUGGCAUUUUGUUUCUUGGUUCCAGCCUCAUUAGAAGGCUUAGCUGAAUUCUUGAUUUUAAGAAUGAUGGGAUAUCAGUGUAACCUUAUAAUUAAAUCUCUCUCUGUCUCAAUCUCUCUCACAUUUUUUUCUUAAAUUAGCUCAGGUGGGUUUCUGUUACCUGGAAUGAAAGGAAUCCUAACUAAUAAAGCAAUGCACAUGCGUUACCUCAUUUAACAUGGUUUUCUCAACAGCUCUGUGAGGUAUUUUUAAUCUAUAUUUUACAGAUGG